rnacentral:rRNA from 1 species
UAAGUAGACCGCCUGGGGAGUACGGCCGCAAGGUUAAAACUCAAAUGAAUUGACGGGGGCCCGCACAAGCGGUGGAGCAUGUGGUUUAAUUCGAUGCAACGCGAAGAACCUUACCUGGUCUUGACAUCCACAGAACUUUCCAGAGAUGGAUUGGUGCCUUCGGGAACUGUGAGACAGGUGCUGCAUGGCUGUCGUCAGCUCGUGUUGUGAAAUGUUGGGUUAAGUCCCGCAACGAGCGCAACCCUUAUCCUUUGUUGCCAGCGAUUAGGUCGGGAACUCAAAGGAGACUGCCAGUGAUAAACUGGAGGAAGGUGGGGAUGACGUCAAGUCAUCAUGGCCCUUACGACCAGGGCUACACACGUGCUACAAUGGCGCAUACAAAGAGAAGCGACCUCGCGAGAGCAAGCGGACCUCAUAAAGUGCGUCGUAGUCCGGAUUGGAGUCUGCAACUCGACUCCAUGAAGUCGGAAUCGCUAGUAAUCGUGGAUCAGAAUGCCACGGUGAAUACGUUCCCGGGCCUUGUACACACCGCCCGUCACACCAUGGGAGUGGGUUGCAAAAGAAGUAGGUAGCUUAACCUUCGGGAGGGCGCUUACCACUUUGUGAUUCAUGACUGGGGUGAAGUCGUAACAAGGUAACCGUAGGGGAACCUGCGGUUGGAUCACCUCCUUACCUUAAAGAAGC